GACGGGAAGGUCCCCACCCCAGCAAAACUGGGGCACUGGCCACAUAAAGGGCUGGUAAUAAGCUGGAUGAGAAGAAGCACACGUGUUCACCAUAUGGAGGGACCCACCAUCCCCCGGAGAUGGAGCAAAGUUCCAUGAGCCUGAACACCAUCCACCACCUACAGGGCAGGCCGGGAAGUGGUCCCUCCUGCAAGGACGAGUGGGAUGAUCCCUUUUAAAGGAGCAAAGAAAAGAGAUUCUACAGCCAAACAGUUCCAGUCCCAAGGGUGACCCUGCCUCCGC